AGAGUUUGAUCCUGGCUCAGAUUGAACGCUGGCGGCAUAGCUAAAACAUGCAAGUCGAGCGAAGCAGCAGCAAUGCUGACUGAGCGGCGAAAGGGUGAGGAAUACAUUCCUAUGUACCCCAAGGUCGAGGAUAGCCAGGAGAAAUCCUGGGUAAUACUCGAUGUGGUCGCAAGAUCAAAGGUUUACCGCCUUGGGAGCGGGGAAUGUCCUAUCAGGUAGUUGGUGGGGUUACGGCUCACCAAGCCUAAGACGGGUAGCAGGUGUGAGAGCACGGCCUGCCACAUCGAAACUGAGACACUGUUCGGACUCCUACGGGAGGCUGCAGUAACGAAUCUUCCGCAAUGCGCGAAAGCGUGACGGGGUAAUGCCGCGUGCAGGAUGAAGCCCUUCGGGGUGUAAACUGCUGUCAGGGGUUAGGAAUACAUGACCAGCCCCAAAGGAAGAGCCGGCUAACUCUGUGCCAGCAGCCGCGGUAAUACAGAGGGCUCAAGCGUUAAUCGGAAUCACUGGGCUUAAAGCGUGCGUAGGCGGAUCUUCAGGCCCGUUGUGAAAUCCCACGGCUCAACCGUGGAACAGCGACGGGAACCGGAGAUCUUGAGUCAGGUAGAGGCAGGUGGAACGAUAGGUGGAGCGGUGAAAUGCGUAGAUAUCUAUCGGAACGCCAAAGGUGAAGACAGCCUGCUGGGCCUGUUCUGACGCUGAGGCACGAAAGCGUGGGUAGCAAACGGGAUUAGAUACCCCGGUAGUCCACGCCGUAAACGAUGCGCACUAGACUGAGGUGGCUUGACGCCUUCUCAGUCGUAGCAAAAGUGCUAAGUGCGCCGCCUGGGGAGUACGGUCGCAAGAUUAAAACUCAAAUCUUAAUGUUGAGUUGGCUUCAAAACAGUAAAUAUAUUUACCCAAUGAGCUCGUUGGUGUUAAAUUACUACCACUUUCUCUACCAUAAACCCAUAUCGUGACUGGGA
rnacentral:rRNA from 1 species